rnacentral:rRNA from 1 species
AUUGAACGCUGGCGGCAGGCCUAACACAUGCAAGUCGAACGAGUGGCGGACGGGUGAGUAAUGUCUGGGAAACUGCCCGAUGGAGGGGGAUAACUACUGGAAACGGUAGCUAAUACCGCAUACCAUCGGAUGUGCCCAGAUGGGAUUAGCUAGUAGGUGGGGUAACGGCUCACCUAGGCGACGAUCCCUAGCUGGUCUGCGAGGGUGACCAGACACACUGGAACUGAGACACGGUCCAGACUCCUACGGGAGGCAGCAGGAGGGAAUAUUGCACAAUGGGCGCAAGACUGAUGAAGCAAGGCCGCGUGUAGGAAGAAGGACUGCGGGUUGUAAAGUACUGUCAGCAAGGAGGCGUUAGUCGCAGAAGAAGCACCGGCUAACUACGUGCCAGCAGCCGCGGUAAUAC